rnacentral:rRNA from 1 species
UACGGGGGGGGGCAAGCGUUGUUCGGAAUUACUGGGCGUAAAGGGCGCGUAGGCGGCCUGCUAAGUCACACGUGAAAUCCCUCGGCUCAACCGGGGAACUGCGUGUGAUACUGGCGGGCUUGAGUUCGGGAGAGGGAUGCGGAAUUCCAGGUGUAGCGGUGAAAUGCGUAGAUAUCUGGAGGAACACCGGUGGCGAAGGCGGCAUCCUGGACCGACACUGACGCUGAGGAGCGAAAGCCAGGGGGAGCAAACGGG